UGGGGAAUAUUGCACAAUGGGCGGAAGCCUGAUGCAGCGACGCCGCGUGAGUGAAGAAGUAUCUCGGUAUGUAAAGCUCUAUCAGCAGGGAAGAAAAUGACGGUACCUGACUAAGAAGCCCCGGCUAACUACGUGCCAGCAGCCGCGGUAAUACGUAGGGGGCAAGCGUUAUCCGGAUUUACUGGGUGUAAAGGGAGCGUAGACGGCGACGCAAGUCUGGAGUGAAAGCCCGGGGCCCAACCCCGGGACUGCUUUGGAAACUGUGCUGCUGGAGUGCAGGAGA
rnacentral:rRNA from 1 species